AGUGAACGCUGGCGGUAGGCCUAACACAUGCAAGUCGAACGGCAGCACAGUAAGAGCUUGCUCUUAUGGGUGGCGAGUGGCGGACGGGUGAGGAAUACAUCGGAAUCUACUUUUUCGUGGGGGAUAACGUAGGGAAACUUACGCUAAUACCGCAUACGACCUACGGGUGAAAGCAGGGGAUCUUCGGACCUUGCGCGAUUGAAUGAGCCGAUGUCGGAUUAGCUAGUUGGCGGGGUAAAGGCCCACCAAGGCGACGAUCCGUAGCUGGUCUGAGAGGAUGAUCAGCCACACUGGAACUGAGACACGGUCCAGACUCCUACGGGAGGCAGCAGUGGGGAAUAUUGGACAAUGGGCGCAAGCCUGAUCCAGCCAUACCGCGUGGGUGAAGAAGGCCUUCGGGUUGUAAAGCCCUUUUGUUGGGAAAGAAAAGCAGCAGGUUAAUACCCCGCUGUUCUGACAGUACCCAAAGAAUAAGCACCGGCUAACUUCGUG
rnacentral:rRNA from 1 species